rnacentral:rRNA from 1 species
AACGAACGCUGGCGGCAUGCCUAACACAUGCAAGUCGAACGAGACCUUCGGGUCUAGUGGCGCACGGGUGCGUAACGCGUGGGAACCUGCCCUUAGGUUCGGAAUAACUCCCCGAAAGGGGCGCUAAUACCGGAUAAUGUCUUCGGACCAAAGAUUUAUCGCCUUUGGAUGGGCCCGCGUUGGAUUAGCUAGUUGGUAGGGUAAAAGCCUACCAAGGCGACGAUCCAUAGCUGGUCUGAGAGGAUGAUCAGCCACACUGGGACUGAGACACGGCCCAGACUCCUACGGGAGGCAGCAGUGGGGAAUAUUGGACGAUGGGCGAAAGCCUGAUCCAGCAAUGCCGCGUGAGUGAUGAAGGCCUUAGGGUUGUAAAGCUCUUUUACCCGGGAUGAUAAUGACAGUACCGGGAGAAUAAGCUCCGGCUAACUCCGUG